ensembl:lncRNA novel transcript
AGCUCUCCCUCCCAUACUCCAAUUGAAGAGACCACAUGUUGACAUGGUGGAACCACCUGAUAGAAGCACCUGAAUCACCACUGGAAGAAUAGCUGUUCUGGAGAGCCCUUCAAAACCUAAAUUGGACUCUGCAUAAGCAAGAAAUCAAUUUUCAAAUGUGCAUAGGAGGCAAAGAAGGAGCAGAGGAAGAUGAGUACUUCCAAUUUGAGUCAAUGUCCAGGCAGAUAGUUAUAAUCAUUUUAGAGAUCUCUUGGCUUCUAGAAGAACAAGUUUCUGGGGCCUCAGGACCACUCAGAAAAGAAAACAGAUCUCCUGAAUGUCAAGAACUUGCAUUUAUUCCAGGCAUAAGGGUGUCACAGAAGUUUUUUUCUAAUGGACUGUCGCUGACCUGGCCACAAGUGGCCAGGAAGAAGGUCUUAAAAUUCAGCUACACAUGAAGAAUGGAUGGAUUCCCCAGGUCUGGACAGAACAGUCCACGCAGAGGAAUGAGGAGAAGAGGAUUCAUCCAUUAGCUUCCAUCUCCCAUUGGUGAAAGCUUGCCCUGCAACUCCUCCACACUUCUGGGUUGUAUGACCUGUCCUGCUACAGCCACUAUGGAAAUCUGAACCCAUGUUAGUAGCCACCUCCUCAGCAUGACCUGCAGCUUAUGGGGCAUGCAGUAAGUAGGAGCAAGCCAAGCGCCCUGCGGGCUAGACCUCUGGCACACUGCAGAACCAGCAUGAACCAGGGCAGGUAGUGAACACCGAGAGGGUCCCAUGGUACUGCCCACCAUAGAGACUAAAACAGAGCCUUUGGCAAGAGGCAGGAGGCUCUAGGCAUGAGGUGUUUUCGGUCAUAGCCACACAUUACCUCAGAUUCCAGGAGCAGCUGCUGCAGCAGACCCAGCUAGCCCAGCCUGCAGAUUGUCACCAUGAAGACAGAGAUGAUCCUUCCUCCAGUGAAGAGCAAAACUUCUUUGUGGCCUAUAUGACUGCUUGGUGCUGGGCAAGCUUCCUGAAGAGUCAUCAGCAGCUGGAGACCAUGGCUGAGUAAAUCCAGGGUGGGGGCAGGGCAUAAGCUGGGUCCAGUGCAUUAUCCAUCCUUUCUAGAUCUUGGCUUCUUUUUGAAUAAUGAGCAGUAGCAAUUGCUAUUUCCUCUUCUUCGCCAUUCCAAGCUUCCCUCUACAACAUCCUCUCUUUCCAGCUGUGUAGCAGGCGCAGCUCUAAGCCCAUGUGCUUGGGGUCUCUUACCCUUGGAAUUGCCUCCUUUGCCGGGCUUUCUAAGUUGUCUUACUGCUAGUUUUCAAGGAUCUUAAAAAUCCAUCCUCUUGUAUGAAGGCUUCUCUGGCUGAAUGGGCAUUAUUCUGGCGUAUUCCUCACCUUCCAAAUAAAAUCUAUGAGCAUG